rnacentral:rRNA from 1 species
UAGGGAAUCUUCCGCAAUGGGCGAAAGCCUGACGGAGCAACGCCGCGUGAGUGAUGAAGGUCUUCGGAUCGUAAAACUCUGUUAUUAGGGAAGAACAAAUGUGUAAGUAACUAUGCACAUCUUGACGGUACCUAAUCAGAAAGCCACGGCUAACUACGUGCCAGCAGCCGCGGUAAUACGUAGGUGGCAAGCGUUAUCCGGAAUUAUUGGGCGUAAAGCGCGCGUAGGCGGUUUUUUAAGUCUGAUGUGAAAGCCCACGGCUCAACCGUGGAGGGUCAUUGGAAACUGGAAAACUUGAGUGCAGAAGAGGAAAGUGGAAUUCCAUGUGUAGCGGUGAAAUGCGCAGAGAUAUGGAGGAGCACCAGUGGCGAAGGCGACUUUCUGGUCUGUAACUGACGCUGAUGUGCGAAAGCGUGGGGAUCAAACAGG